GGAAGACAAGACCACAGCUAAGAGGGAGGAUCAGAAAGCAGCAGCACAGCCACCACAGUUCUGGGGGAGGUGCUGCCCGCUUCUCAGCCUUGCUUAUCCGAGCCACUGGAAGAAGAGGAGGUCCAAAGAACCGUGUGGUCAGAGGUACGUUCAUGGCAAAGAACACAGUCAUCAUUUAUAGCAGCUCACUGUAUCGAAACAGGCAAACAAAAACCCGAGAAGAGGGGGGCAGGGAACUCAGAAAGCUUUGCUGCCACGCUUUCAUCAAGCUUCACCUGCAUGCAAAACAUCAUCGUGACAGGGAUGGUUUUCUCCUUCUCAACUUUGGGCUUGGACACUCUCAGCAUCCAGCCACAGGGUGCCAUAUUCUAAUCUACGCCCACAAGCCUGCUGGCCCCUCGACAGUAAAAGCAUCUUUCAGCCAUCUUGGAGAAGGCCUGCAUUUGAUCAAGGUGUCUGAUCAAGACAAAGCUAUUGCAGGAAGACGCUCACCUGCUCCAUCUCCGAUGCCUGAUGUGGAUGUGGAGCAGAAGAGGACGUCUGCGUGGUUGAUGAUGAAUUCUACCACGUCCGACUGCCUCUGCAGUUCCAUGCAGGCAGCUCUUCCGCUGGCGCAGGCAGACUCGUUCUGCUGGGAUCUGUAGAAAAG
ensembl:lncRNA